AUCACUAUUUCCAAAAUGCUCUCCUACGGAAAGGUCAGGCACCUGGUCAGGCACAUUAGCUAAUACAAGGUCUAGUAUGGCCCUUCCUUGAGUUAGACUAUCCACAUACUGUUUCAAGGAACACUCUUGGAUGCACUUCACAAAUCCUACCCCAUUGAAGCUUCUGGCUUUAAGUGAUUCCCAGUCGGUACUGCGGAAGUUAAAGUCACCCGCUACCACAACCCCGUUGUUAUUGCAUCAAACCUUUGCCUAAAUGUUUGUUCAUCAAUAUCGUCUGGCUGUUGCAGGGCCUAGAGUAUAAUCCUAUCAGAAUGAUUGUGCCCAUCCCUCAGUGGAUGAGCCCUCCAGUGUGUCCUCUUUGAGUGCAGAUGGAACAUUCUCCCUGAUGCAACUUUAGGGUGACAUGCCCAUAAUAGAGUAGCAAUGGGAGUCUGAUCUUGCUUCGAAGACAAACUUAAUGCUGGGGAAGAAUCUGGCUGCUGUUCUUGAAUCUCUGAGAUACCGCGGAACAGGUCCAUCUGCAUUCAUCUAUGCAUCCACUUUGCCAUCAUGGAAAAUGCCCAGUGCCAAAACUAGAACUUUCUCCAGUUAAGCUUUCUCAGGCUAUCGCCUACACGCCAUUGAGACAUUUAAUGUUUGCGUUUGCAAGGAGCAAGCCUGGGUCCACGUUAUAUUUUUUAAAAAAUGCAUUUGAACACAGUCAGAAAAAGGGAACUUGAGCAGGCAAGCCAUGUUUAAUGGUGGACUGAGUGGUGGUGGUUCCUGGAGGGGUGGUUAAUGGCAAUAAUUGUUUUCCUUAUUUAUUGCAUUAAUGGUCUUUUUCUGUUGUGCACUUCCCUUUGAUAAUGUAUUAUCAAUAAAAAUAAUUUUUCAAUAGCUUCUUAAGUAAGCGGCACAAUUGGCCUAGGGUUUACAAAUUUUUUGUAACACCCUAGGAAAAUAUGGAGAAUUUAUUAAGACAGCAGUUGUACUGUAGAGUCAUGGGAAAUGCCACUUAUGCUGCAGAGUCCCUCCAUAAUCAGUAUCAUUGGUUUGAUGACCAUUGUCACCACCUGUGUUAGUGGUGCCAGUACCAAAUACCAUAGUACACUGGUCUGCUGCUCAUGGUUUUUCUCUGUGUUUCUUACAGAGUCUGGGAGAGGGUGGCUGGUUGCAGAGAGUCAAGAUUAGAGUAGUGCUGGAAAAGCACAGCAGGUCAGGCAGCAUCCAAGAAGCAGGAAAAUUGACAU